rnacentral:rRNA from 1 species
AUUGAACGCUGGCGGCAGGCCUAACACAUGCAAGUCGAACGAGUGGCGGACGGGUGAGUAAUGUCUGGGAAACUGCCCGAUGGAGGGGGAUAACUACUGGAAACGGUAGCUAAUACCGCAUACCAUCGGAUGUGCCCAGAUGGGAUUAGCUUGUAGGUGAGGUAACGGCUCACCUAGGCGACGAUCCCUAGCUGGGCUGAGCGGAUGACCAGCCACACUGGAACUGGGACACGGUCCAGACUCCUACGGGAGGCAGCAGUGGGGAAUAGUGCACAAUGGGCGCAAUCCUGAUGCAGCCAUGCCGCGUGUAUGAAGAAGGCCGUCGGGUUGUAAAGUACGUUCAGCGGGGAGGCGUGACCCUCAUAAGAAGCACCGGCUAACUCCGUGCCCGCAGCUGCGGUAAGUC